rnacentral:piRNA from 1 species
UCUGUGCCUUGACCUGUGUGCUCAGA